rnacentral:sRNA from 2 species
UUGCGAUUGUCAUUGGGUGGCGCAGUAUUCUAGUCAGCCGUCCGCGCCUGAAGGCGGGGCUAAAAAUCCGUCAAAGGGCACAUCGAUGAAGUUCCUGGUGUUGGCUUGGGGCGCCCAGCCUUGGGCUUAUGCUGGGAGUUAAGAAAGUUGGGUAGCCCGCAAUGGCAUGCGGAGACUAACCCAGCUUUCGCGGAGGCCCAAGUGCGUAGCUCGCAAUCCAUGGGAAGGGUUAUGGCUUGGGGUAUGAACCUGCAUGCGGAGGCAAUCUGUGUGCAGUGUAGCCUGCCUUGAAGUGGUGCUGAAGGAUCCCAGGAAUUCAGGCGGCGUCCCGCGGCCACGGAGAUGCCGCCGGUGCUGGGUGAAAUCCGUACUGCAAAAGAGGCUAGGGCGCGUUCGCGGCUGUUGCGGAAAACGCCUAGACUGUUCGCUACAAGGCGAGGUUUUCUGAGGAUUAUAGUGUGGACUAAGUGGUAAUCCAGUCUGACAGUCGGUGACGCUGUCAAGGUGUUCAUAAUGGGAAACCACCGUGACGGCGACGUCUCGGUGAACGCUUGGGAAAACCUACUGGACCUAAGCCACAGCGUUUACUCAGGAAACUGCCACCCUUUGAUUUCAUUAC